AGUGCCCGAGUUGUAAUUUGUAGAAUUUGUCUUUGAUUAGGUCCUUGUCUAUGUUCCUUGGAACAGGACGUCAUAGAGGGUGAGAAUCCCGUUUGGCGAGGAUACCUUUUCUCUGUAAGACUUUUUCGAAGAGUCGAGUUGUUUGGGAAUGCAGCUCAAAGUGGGUGGUAAAUUCCAUCUAAAGCUAAAUAUUGGCGAGAGACCGAUAGCGAACAAGUACAGUGAUGGAAAGAUGAAAAGAACUUUGAAAAGAGAGUGAAAAAGUACGUGAAAUUGUUGAAAGGGAAGGGCAUUUGAUCAGACAUGGUGUUUUUUGCAUGCACUCGCCUCUCGUGGGCUUGGGCCUCUCAAAAAUUUCACUGGGCCAACAUCAAUUCUGGCAGCAGGAUAAAUCAUUAAGAAUGUAGCUACUUCGGUAGUGUUAUAGCUUUUUGGAAUACUGUUAGCCGGGAUUGAGGACUGCGCUUCGGCAAGGAUGUUG
rnacentral:rRNA from 1 species